UGCCCAGCAACUCCUAUCCCUACCUCCUCACGGUACUGGCCAGAGUACCAGGAUAGCAAGCUUAGGGAAGA
rnacentral:ribozyme from 1 species